rnacentral:tRNA from 1 species
GCUUCGGUAGUCUAAAGGCUUAGGACGCUCGCACGGAAUACAAGAGAUCCAAGGUUCGACUCCCGGCCGAAGUA